AUACGGAGGGAGCAAGCGUUAUUCGGAAUCACUGGGCGUAAAGGACGCGUAGGCGGGUUUGUAAGUCAGGUGUGAAAUCCUACAGCUCAACUGUAGAACUGCACUUGAAACUACAGACCUAGAGUAUGGAAGGGGCAGAUGGAAUUAGUGGUGUAGGGGUAAAAUCCGUAGAUAUCACUAGGAAUACCGAAAGCGUAGGCGAUCUGCUGGGACAUUACUGACGCUGAGGCGUGAAAGCGUGGGGAGCAAACAGGAUUAGAUACCCUAGUAGUCC
rnacentral:rRNA from 1 species